AAAUCUCUCAGAUAGAGGUGCUGG
rnacentral:siRNA from 1 species